GACCUACAUUUACCAGACCUCUUCAUUUCCUCACAAAGUUGCCAUAUGGCUCUAGCAGUAUCUGUAGAAGUAUAAUAGCCAUGCAGUAUACUUUUAUAGUUUUUAUGGUGUUUUUUUGUUGUCCUUUUAGGAGCCGCGAGCUGAUGUUGCAUGCAAAAAAGAUGCAUGACGACCCUUUUUACCAAUUCUCUAUUCGUGUUGCAUAGGAAAAACAACACCAUGCUGGUUUGGAAUGACAUGGUGAGCCCUCGCCGUGGGAGACGACCCACAAUGCAACUCUUCCUACCGGGAUGAAAAGCAGGAAGUGGCUUUAGCUGGCCUCUCCCUCUGGCGGAUCAUGCAGGAACAAUGCAGAUACUCAUUUCAUGAGUUGAUAUUUGACUGAAUAUGAUAUGCGGUCCGGGGAGAGAGCUCCGAGCUCGGAAAGACACCCUAAAGCUGCCUUUCCACUGCACACGACAUUCAGACGCGGCUGUCGGAAUACACCCCCUAGUGGCAUCCACACAGAAUAUUCAGACUGUGGCUUAAUGUCCUGGGACAUCAAGUAACCGCAGGCUAAUGAGAUGGCCAAACCCCAGACGCUUGACACGGAAUUCAAUUAGACUGCACCCUCCCUGUCUUUCACACUGAGGUAAGAACUGGCGUGAGAAAAAUCCAUUGGGAAAAAAGUGCUUGUCUGAGUGUGAAAAAAGAACAAGAGCAAUGGAGAAAUAACAUCACAUUACACAUACAGCAGACAUUUUAACCUGAUCAGUCACUGAGUGGGAAAUAUUCUGUGCAACAAACCAAAGUCUGAUAUAUUUCACUGUGUUGUAAACUAAUUUGGUCAAAAGUAACGAUAUUAUGAUAUUUGGUUUUGGUGUUAUGGCACACAACAGUCUAUUCUCUCCCACCAGUUUCAUUUUAUGAGUUUAUCCAGAGUUUUCAGUGGCUCCAUGUGCA